rnacentral:rRNA from 1 species
UCCUACGGGAGGCAGCAGUGGGGAAUACUGGACAAUGGGGGAAACCCUGAUCCAGCCAUGCCGCGUGUGUGAAGAAGGCCUUCGGGUUGUAAAGCACUUUCAGUUGUGAGGAAAAGUUAGUAGUUAAUACCUGCUAGCCGUGACGUUAACAACAGAAAAAGCACCGGCUAACUCCGUGCCAGCAGCCGCGGUAAUACGGAGGGUGCGAGCGUUAAUCGGAAUUACUGGGCGUAAAGCGCACGCAGGCGGUUUGUUAAGCUAGAUGUGAAAGCCCCGGGCUCAACCUGGGAUGGUCAUUUAGAACUGGCAGACUAGAGUCUUGGAGAGGGGAGUGGAAUUCCAGGUGUAGCGGUGAAAUGCGUAGAUAUCUGGAGGAACAUCAGUGGCGAAGGCGACUCCCUGGCCAAAGACUGACGCUCAUGUGCGAAAGUGUGGGUAGCGAACAGGAUUAGAUACCCUGGUAGUCCACACCGUAAACGCUGUCUACUAGCUGUGUGUGCCUUUAAGACGUGCGUAGCGAAGCUAACGCGCUAAGUAGACCGCCUGGGGAGUACGGCCGCAAGGUUAAAACUCAAAUGAAUUGACGG